rnacentral:RNase_P_RNA from 1 species
GAGAGUAGGUGCAGGCAGUUGCGGAUUGCAGUCAAAAGCUGUGAUUCGAGGAAAGUCCGGGCUUCCGAAAGACCAAACUUGCUGGGUAAUGCCCAGUGCGGGCGACCGUGAGGAUAGUGCCACAGAAAGAUACCGCCGCUUAGAAGUUAUGAGUUAUGAGUGCUGAGCUUUGAAUGACGAAUUUCUAUUACGAACUUAAAACUCAAAACUUAAAACUCAAAACUACUGCGGUAAGGGUGCAAAGGUGCGGUAAGAGCGCACCAGCAGCAUCGAGAGGUGCUGGCUCGGUAAACCCCGGUUGGAAGCAAGGCUGUGGAACAAGGGUUGGUCUUUGACCCGUUCCAUGCAAAGGUGGGUUCGCUCAUCUCUGCCCGUCCGCUUGAGGAGCUUGGUAACAAGUGUCCCAGAUAGAUAACUGCCCUCUUAAAGACUGUCCUUCUAAAGGCAUCGCGUUUAAGAGAACAGAACCCGGCUUACGUCCGACUCUCCUCA